GGUUCGCUGAGGAUGGAGCCAGGCUUACAAGAUGGGAAGGGGUGGGUUUGGGGUCCAAAAGUGGCACGUCCCGCUGAGCAGGCCUGGAGAGGUCACAGAAACUGUGGCUGAGCUCAAUGCACAGAGCCUUGGACCAAGAAGACUUUACUCUUCUCCUGUGCCUCCUUCCAUCUGGCAUUUGAGCUCAGGUAGCCAAGAACCAAAGAGCUAAUUCGCUGUAGAUAGAGUCAACCACAUAGAUGGCUUCUGCUUAAUUUGCUGAUGAAAUAGCAACUUUGUCCAUGUUGGGAUCUCUACUUACACACUUGGUUUCCUUUGAAAAUUAAAACCCUGACCUAGAAAACAAGCACACUGUUCAGGGACACCAUCUUGUAAGUUUGGUUGUUAACCACCCGCUGCUCUCAAUAAAUCAGUCUGUG